rnacentral:rRNA from 1 species
AUUGAACGCUGGCGGCAGGCCUAACACAUGCAAGUCGAACGAGUGGCGGACGGGUGAGUAAUGUCUGGGAAACUGCCUGAUGGGGGGGGAUAAAUACUGGAAACGGUUGCUAAAACCGCAUAACAUCCGAUGUGCCCAGAGGGGAUGAGCUAGUGGGUGGGGUAACGGCUCACAUAGUCGACGAGCCCACGCUUGUCUGAGAGGAUGAACAGCCACACGGGAACUGAGAAACGGUCCAGACUCCUACGGGAGGCAGCAUUGGGGAAUAUUGCACAAUGGGCGCAAGCCUGAUGCAGCCAUGCCGCGUGUAUGAAGAAGGCCUUCGGGUUGUAAAGUACUUUCAGCGGGGAGGCGUUACCCGCAGAAGAAGCACCGGCUAACUACGUGCCAGCAGCCGCGUUAAUUC